ACACGCUGGCGGCGUGCCUGACACAUGCAAGUCGGACGGUUCUUGUACCUUCAAGCUUGCUUGUUGGUGCAAGGAUAGUGGCGGACGGGUGAGUAACACGUAGGUUAUCUACCCUCAAGACGGGGACAACCCAGGGAAACUUGGGCUAAUACCGGAUGUGAGCAACUUUUAGUUGUUUGAAAGGUGGCGUAAGCUGUCGCUUGGGGAUGAGCCUGCGUCCUAUUAGUUAGUUGGUGAGGUAACGGCUCACCUAGGCAAUGAUAGGUAGGCGGCCUUAACGGGUGGUCGCCCACACUGGGAUUGAGAUACGGCCCAGACUCCUACGGGAGGCAGCAGUCGAGAAUAGUCUACAAUGGUCGGAAGACUGAUAGUGCGACGCCGCGUGAACGAUGAAUCCCUUCGGGGUGUAAAGUUCUUUUAUAUGUGAGCAGUGCUUCUUAUAUUAACAGUAUGGGGAGAGAGAUAUUAGCAUAUGAAUAAGCAACGGCUAACUCCGUG
rnacentral:rRNA from 1 species